rnacentral:rRNA from 1 species
GAUGAACGCUGGCGGUAUGCCUAACACAUGCAAGUCGUACGAGAGUUUUUAACUCUAGUGGCGGACGGGUGAGUAACACGUGAGAAUUUACCUUUAGGAGGGGGAUAACAAUCGGAAACGAAUGCUAAUACCCCAUAUGCUUUCGAGUGAAAUGGAUUUAUAUUUAUCCGCCUAGAGAGAAGCUCGCGGCUGAUUAGCUUGUUGGUAAGGUAAGAGCUUACCAAGGCGACGAUCAGUAUCUGGUUUGAGAGGACGAUCAGACACACUGGAACUGAGACACGGUCCAGACUCCUACGGGAGGCAGCAGUGGGGAAUUUUCCGCAAUGGGCGAAAGCCUGACGGAGCAAUACCGCGUGAGGGAAGACUGCCUAUGGGUUGUAAACCUCUUUUUUCAGGGAGGAAUAAAAUGACGUGUACCUGAAGAAUAAGCAUCGGCUAACUCCGUGCCAGCCGCCGC